GAUUAAGUUAUUAAGGGCGCACGGUGGAUGCCUUGGCACUAGAAGCCGAUGAAGGACGUUACUAACGACGAUAUGCUUUGGGGAGCUGUAAGUAAGCUUUGAUCCAGAGAUUUCCGAAUGGGGAAACCCAGCAUGAGUUAUGUCAUGUUAUCGAUAUGUGAAUACAUAGCAUAUCAGAAGGCACACCCGGAGAACUGAAACAUCUUAGUACCCGGAGGAAGAGAAAGAAAAUUCGAUUCCCUUAGUAGCGGCGAGCGAAACGGGAAGAGCCCAAACCAACAAGCUUGCUUGUUGGGGUUGUAGGACACUCUAUACGGAGUUACAAAGGACGACAUUAGACGAAUCAUCUGGAAAGAUGAAUCAAAGAAGGUAAUAAUCCUGUAGUCGAAAAUGUUGUCUCUCUUGAGUGGAUCCUGAGUACGACGGAGCACGUGAAAUUCCGUCGGAAUCUGGGAGGACCAUCUCCUAAGGCUAAAUACUCUCUAGUGACCGAUAGUGAACCAGUACCGUGAGGGAAAGGUGAAAAGCACCCCGGAAGGGGAGUGAAAUAGAACCUGAAACCGUGUGCUUACAAGUAGUCAGAGCCCGUUAAUGGG
rnacentral:rRNA from 1 species